GACGGAGGGUGCUAGCGUUGUUCGGAAUGACUGGGCGUAAAGGGCGCGUAGGCGGCCCUCGCCGUCGGAUGUGAAAGCCCGGGGCUCAACCCCGGAACGGCAUCCGAGACGCGGGGGCUGGAGACCGGGAGAGGAGGGUGGAAUACCCAGUGUAGAGGUGAAAUUCGUAGAUAUUGGGUGGAACACCGGUGGCGAAAGCGGCUCUCUGGCCCGGUUCUGACGCUGAGGCGCGAAAGCGUGGGGAGCAAACAGGAUUAGAAACCCCCGUAGUCC
rnacentral:rRNA from 1 species